AUGAACAACUUUAGUAAUGAAGAGUUUGACUGCCAUUUCUUGGAUGAAGGCUUUACUGCCACGGACAUCCUGGACCAAAAAAUGAAGUUUCUUCUUUUGACGGUAAGGAUGCCUUCUAUGUUGCAGACCUGGGAGACAUUCUAAAGAAACAUCUGAGACAGUUUAAAGCUCUUCCUCGAGUCACCCCCUUUCAUGUAGUCAAAUACAGUGAUAGCAGAACCAUAGUGAAGACCCUAGCUGCCACAGGGACAGGAUUUGACUAUGCCAGCAAGACUGAAAUCCAGUUGGUGCAGAGUCUUCGGGUGCCUCCAAAGAGGAUUAUCUAUGCAAAUCCUUGUGAACAAGUGUCUCAGAUUAAAUACGCUGCCAAUAACGGACCCGAGAUGAUGACUUUUGAUAGUGAAGUUGAGCUGAUGUGCCAGGGCACAUCCAAAGGCCAAGUUGGUUUUGCGGAUUGCCACUGAUGAUUCCAAAGCAGUCUGUCGCCUCAGUGUCAAAUUUGGUGCCACACUCAAAACCAGCAGGCUUCUUUUGCAACGGGCGAAAGAGCUAGAUAUUGAUGUCAUUGGUGUCAGCUUCCAUGUGGGAGGUGGUUGUACUGAUCCGGAGAUCUUUGUGAAGGCCAUCUCUGAUGCCCACUAUGUCUUUGACAUGAGAGCUGAGGUUGGUUUCGACAUGUAUCUGCUUGAUAUUGGUGGUGGCUUUCCUGAAUCUGAGGAUGUAAAGCUUAAAUUUGAAGAGAUCACUAGUGUAAUCAACCCAGCGUUGGACAAGUAUUUUCCAUCAGACUCUGGAGUGAGAAUCAUAGCUGAGCCAGGCAGAUACUAUGUUGAAUCAGCUUUCAUGCUAGCAGUUAAUAUCAUUGCCAAAAAACUCGUAUUAAAGGAACAGACAGGCUCUGAUGAUGAAGAUGAGUCAAGUGAACAGACGUUUAUGUAUUAUGUGAAUGAUGGAGUAUAUGGAUCAUUCAACUGCAUCCUCUACGAAAAUGCACACGUGAAGCCUCUUCUGCAGAAGAGACCCAAACCAGAUGAGAAGUAUUAUUCAUCCAGCAUCUCGGGACAGACCUGUGAUGGCCUGGAUUGCCUGGUUGAGCACUGUAACUUGCCCGAGAUGCAUGUGGGCAAUUGGAUGCUCUUUGAGAACAUGGGUGCUUACACUGUUGCUGCUGCUUCCACUUUCAAUGGAUUCCAGAGACCGACCAUCUACUGUGUGAUGUCAGGGCCAACAUGGCAUCUGAUGCAGCAAAUCCAGAACCACGAUUUCCCACCCAGCAUAGAGGAGCAAGAUGUUGGCACUGUGCCUGUGUCCUGUGCUUGGGAGAGGGGAAUGAAAUGGCACCCAGCAGCCUGUGUUUCAGCUCUUAUUAAUGUGUAG